GACAGAGGGUGCAAACGUUGUUCGGAAUUACUGGGCGUAAAGCGAGUGUAGGCGGUGUGGCAAGUCGGAUGUGAAAGCCCCGGGCUCAACCCGGGAAGUGCACUCGAUACUGCCACGCUAGAGUAUCGGAGAGGUUGGUGGAAUUCUCGGUGUAGAGGUGAAAUUCGUAGAUAUCGAGAGGAACACCGGUGGCGAAGGCGGCCAACUGGACGAAUACUGACGCUGAGACUCGAAAGCGUGGGGAGCAAACAGG
rnacentral:rRNA from 1 species